rnacentral:pre_miRNA from 1 species
UGAGAACUGGUUUUGAUGGACUAGUUUCCUUUCAGUUUUUUCAGUCCAUAAUAUCCAGUUCUCUA